rnacentral:rRNA from 1 species
GAAUAUUGCACAAUGGAGGAAACUCUGAUGCAGCGACGCCGCGUGAGGGAAGAAGGUCUUCGGAUUGUAAACCUCUGUCUUUGGGGAAGAUAAUGACGGUACCCACGGAGGAAGCCACGGCUAACUACGUGCCACCAGCCGCGGUAAUAUGUAGGUGGCAAGCGUUGUCCGGAAUUACUGGGUGUAAAGGGAGCGUAGGCGGGUGUUUAAGUUGAAUGUUUAAACUAUCGGCUCAACCGGUAGUCGCGUUCAAAACUGAGCAUCUUGAGUGAAGUAGAGGCAGGCGGAAUUCCUAGUGUAGCGGUGAAAUGCGUAGAUAUUAGGAGGAACACCAGUGGCGAAGGCGGCCUGCUGGGCUUUUACUGACGCUGAGGCUCGAAAGCAUGGGGAGCAAAC